rnacentral:lncRNA from 1 species
UGGUCACUUUAGUCUAGCCAAGCAGACACACAAAAUUAACCAUCACAGAGUGCAUCUAUAUACGGCUCAAAAGGGUUUUUUUUUUUUUUUUUUUGACUGCACAUAGUAUGCAUUUGUGAGCCUCCUGAAACACACGUGGGAAAAGAUAUUUUCACCUCUCCAGGAGAGGGAACUAGAGAUGUUCUGCAACUCUGCAAGCAAGUAAACCAGCCCAAGACCCAAGACAGCUGAGGCAUAGGGGAGACCAACUGGGCUGGAGCUAAAGAAUCAAAGCAAAUGAACACAGAGAAACCUGAUUCAGUGCCCUGACAUGGAACUAGCUAGAAGAGUUGUGGAUUGAAUGACAAACUAUGAUUCCUGCUACUGCCAAUCGGAAGAAGGCUAAAAAUGAGCUUCUAUGACAAAGCAGAUGGAGAGCCACUGGAGUCAUAGAAGUGGAGCCGGGACUCCAGACUUCAAGAGUUGAAGAGAACGUCAGCCUUCAAGAGUCGUCGUGUUCCUCUACUUUACCUACAACACCUGCAACAAUGAACGUGAAGACCUGUGGCGAACCCUGCUCUGAUUACUUCAGGGGCCCUGAGUAGGAAGCAAUAUCUUUGCUGGUGAUUUGCCAUUAAUGCCCAGGCCCUAGUAAG